ensembl:lncRNA
GUUGUUAGGAUGGGUUGUUAGGAUGGGUUGUUAGGAUGGGCAGUUACGGAUGGGUUGUUAGGAUGGGUUGUUAGGAUGGGUUUUACGGAUGGGUUGUUAGGAUGGGUUGUUAGGAUGGGUUGUAAGGAUGGGUUGUUAGGAUGGGUUGUUAGGAUGGGUUGUUAGGAUGGGUUGUUAGGAUGGGUUGUAAGGAUGGGUUGUUAGGAUGGGUUGUUAGGAUGGGUUGUUAGGAUGGGUUGUAAGGAUGGGUUGUUAGGAUGGGCAGUUACGGAUGGGAGGUUAGGAUGGGUUGUUAGGAUGGGUUGUUAGCAAGUGCGGGUGAACAAACAGCUGACCCAUGCACCACUAACGGACACACACGAACACUCACACAUUCUGCUGAAAUUCAAUACAUCAUGUUUUCUCUUCAUGCUUUAUUGACACCACACUCCAC